UACGGAGGGGGCUAGCGUUAUUCGGAAUUACUGGGCGUAAAGCGCACGUAGGCGGACUGGAAAGUUGGAGGUGAAAUCCCAGGGCUCAACCUUGGAACUGCCUUCAAAACUAUCAGUCUAGAGUUCGAGAGAGGUGAGUGGAAUUCCGAGUGUAGAGGUGAAAUUCGUAGAUAUUCGGAGGAACACCAGUGGCGAAGGCGGCUCACUGGCUCGAUACUGACGCUGAGGUGCGAAAGCGUGGGGAGCAAAC
rnacentral:rRNA from 1 species